AUGUAUAGGCCAGUUGCUAAAUUGUACAGAACUUGAUUUGGUCGUCUUUAUAGGGAUCUACGCUCCACUCAGCUCAGCCACCUUCCAGCAGGCGUCUUUAUCGGACUUUGUCGGUUACAGAAACUGACGCUUGGUCACAAUAGCCUGACUGUUCUUGAAAAUGGGACAUUCGAAGGUCUUCGUAAUUUAGGCGGAUUAAGUUUGGAUUUCAACAAGAUUACUCGAUUGUACGAAGGCUGCUUUAGAGGUCUUGAUAGCCUUUACUUCAUGUAAGUAGGUCGAUACUUUAGAGACAGGUAGAUUAUUCAUGUUUAAAAAAAUAAAAUAAACAGAUAACCAUAUUUUGAACUGGCAACAAUGAAAGGCGUAGUCCACACAGGCACUUGUAGGCUUAUAGGAUUUUGUACCUUCUUCAUUUCAUUGGUAUCGUAUUUAUACACGGUAAAAUAUAUUGCACCCUCUGGCUUUUCUUCAGUCUUCACUAUGCCGUGAACGAGAUUUAGAAGAAGAAAAAAGUAAUGUGUACAUCACACAAAAUAGAACGCCCUUCAAUGCACUUAAAACUAACAUAAUUACAUAAUCCAGUGUAUUUUAGC